GGCAAUCUGCCCUUCACUCUGGGACAAGCCCUGGAAACGGGGUCUAAUACCGGAUAACACUCCUCAGAGCAUUCUGGGGGGUUAAAAGCUCCGGCGGUGAAGGAUGAGCCCGCGGCCUAUCAGCUUGUUGGUGGGGUAAUGGCCUACCAAGGCGACGACGGGUAGCCGGCCUGAGAGGGCGACCGGCCACACUGGGACUGAGACACGGCCCAGACUCCUACGGGAGGCAGCAGUGGGGAAUAUUGCACAAUGGGCGAAAGCCUGAUGCAGCGACGCCGCGUGAGGGAUGACGGCCUUCGGGUUGUAAACCUCUUUCAGCAGGGAAGAAGCGAAAGUGACGGUACCUGCAGAAGAAGCGCCGGCUAACUACGUGCCAGCAGCCGCGGUAAUACGUAGGGCGCAAGCGUUGUCCGGAAUUAUUGGGCGUAAAGAGCUCGUAGGCGGCUUGUCACGUCGGAUGUGAAAGCCCGGGGCUUAACCCCGGGUCUGCAUUCGAUACGGGCUAGCUAGAGUGUGGUAGGGGAGAUCGGAAUUCCUGGUGUAGCGGUGAAAUGCGCAGAUAUCAGGAGGAACACCGGUGGCGAAGGCGGAUCUCUGGGCCAUUACUGACGCUGAGGAGCGAAAGCGUGGGGAGCGAACAGGAUUAGAUACCCUGGUAGUCCACGCCGUAAACGUUGGGAACUAGGUGUUGGCGACAUUCCACGUCGUCGGUGCCGCAGC
rnacentral:rRNA from 1 species